GGCUGGAGUCUAGCGGCUAAGGUACAUGACUGGGAUCCUUGUGGUUGUUGGUUCAAACCCCAGUCUAGUCA